rnacentral:rRNA from 1 species
AUACAUGCAAGUCGAGCGAACUGAUUAGAAGCUUGCUUCUAUGACGUUAGCGGCGGACGGGUGAGUAACACGUGGGCAACCUGCCUGUAAGACUGGGAUAACUUCGGGAAACCGAAGCUAAUACCGGAUAGGAUCUUCUCCUUCAUGGGAGAUGAUUGAAAGAUGGUUUCGGCUAUCACUUACAGAUGGGCCCGCGGUGCAUUAGCUAGUUGGUGAGGUAACGGCUCACCAAGGCAACGAUGCAUAGCCGACCUGAGAGGGUGAUCGGCCACACUGGGACUGAGACACGGCCCAGACUCCUACGGGAGGCAGCAGUAGGGAAUCUUCCGCAAUGGACGAAAGUCUGACGGAGCAACGCCGCGUGAGUGAUGAAGGCUUUCGGGUCGUAAAACUCUGUUGUUAGGGAAGAACAAGUACAAGAGUAACUGCUUGUACCUUGACGGUACCUAACCAGAAAGCCACGGCUAACUACGUGCCAGCAGCCGCGGUAAUACGUAGGUGGCAAGCGUUAUCCGGAAUUAUUGGGCGUAAAGCGCGCGCAGGCGGUUUCUUAAGUCUGAUGUGAAAGCCCACGGCUCAACCGUGGAGGGUCAUUGGAAACUGGGGAACUUGAGUGCAGAAGAGAAAAGCGGAAUUCCACGUGUAGCGGUGAAAUGCGUAGAGAUGUGGAGGAACACCAGUGGCGAAGGCGGCUUUUUGGUCUGUAACUGACGCUGAGGCGCGAAAGCGUGGGGAGCAAACAGGAUUAGAUACCCUGGUAGUCCACGCCGUAAACGAUGAGUGCUAAGUGUUAGAGGGUUUCCGCCCUUUAGUGCUGCAGCUAACGCAUUAAGCACUCCGCCUGGGGAGUACGGUCGCAAGACUGAAACUCAAAGGAAUUGACGGGGGCCCGCACAAGCGGUGGAGCAUGUGGUUUAAUUUCGAAGCAACGCGAAGAACCUUACCAGGUCUUGACAUCCUCUGACAACUCUAGAGAUAGAGCGUUCCCCUUCGGGGGACAGAGUGACAGGUGGUGCAUGGGUUGUCGUCAGCUCG